rnacentral:rRNA from 1 species
CAGCACCUCAAGUGGUCAGGACGAUUAUUGGGCCUAAAGCAUCCGUAGCCGGCUCUGUAAGUUUUCGGUUAAAUCUGUACGCUCAACGUACAGGCUGCCGGGAAUACUGCAGAGCUAGGGAGUGGGAGAGGUAGACGGUACUCGGUAGGAAGGGGUAAAAUCCUUUGAUCUAUUGAUGACCACCUGUGGCGAAGGCGGUCUACCAGAACACGUCCGACGGUGAGGGAUGAAAGCUGGGGGAGCAAACCGGAUUAGAUACCCGAGUAGUCC